GCCGGAGUAGCUCAGGUGGUAGAGCAGCUGAUUUGUAAUCAGCUGGUCGGGGGUUCGAUUCCCUUCUCCGGCU
rnacentral:tRNA from 1 species